rnacentral:rRNA from 1 species
GACGAACGCUGGCGGCGUGCGUAAUACAUGCAAGUUGAGCGCUGACGGCUGGUCCUUUUACCAACUGGUUGAUCAGCGAACGGGUCAGUCACGCGUGGUGAAUCUGCCUUUGCGCGGGGGACACCAUUUGGAAACGAUUGCUUCUACCGCAUAAUAACUUUAAACACAAGUUUUCAGUUUGAAAGAUGCAAUUGCAUCACUCAAAGAUGAUCCCGCGUUGUAUUAGCUAGUUGGUGAGGUAAAGGCACAACAAGGCGAGGAUCCAUAGCCGACCAGAAAGGGUGAUCGGCCACAGUGGGACUGGAACACGGCCCAAACCACUAGGGGAGGCAGCAGUAGGGAAUCUUCGGCAAAGGCAGAAAGUGGGACCGAGCAACGCCGCGCGAGUGAAGAAGGUUGUCGGAUCGUGAAACUCUGUUGGGAGAGAAGAACGUAGGUGAGAGUGGAAAGCUCAGCAAGUGACGGUAACGACACAGAAAGGGACGGCUAACUACGUG